rnacentral:rRNA from 1 species
UACGUAGGGUGCAAGCGUUGUCCGGAAUUAUUGGGCGUAAAGAGCUCGUAGGCGGUUUGUUGCGUCGGCUGUGAAAUCCCGAGGCUCAACCUCGGGUCUGCAGUCGAUACGAGCAAACUAGAGUGUUGCAGGGGAGACUGGAAUUCCUGGUGUAGCGGUGAAAUGCGCAGAUAUCAGGAGGGAACACCCGGGUGGGCGAAAGGGCGGGGUCUCUGGGGCAACAACUGACGC